GAAGUCGGAAUCGCUAGUAAUCGCAGAUCAGCAUUGCUGCGGUGAAUACGUUCCCGGGCCUUGUACACACCGCCCGUCACACCAUGGGAGUGGGUUGCUCCAGAAGUAGCUAGUCUAACCCUCGGGAGGACGGUUACCACGGAGUGAUUCAUGACUGGGGUGAAGUCGUAACAAGGUAGCCGUAUCGGAAGGUGCGGCUGGAUCACCUCCUUU
rnacentral:ncRNA from 1 species